GGGGCGGUGGCGCAGUUGGCUAGCGCGUAGGUCUCAUAAUCCUGAGGUCGAGAGUUUGAGCCUCUCUCGCCCCA
rnacentral:tRNA from 1 species